rnacentral:rRNA from 1 species
UACGGGGGGGGCAAGCGUUGUUCGGAAUUACUGGGCGUAAAGGGCUCGUAGGCGGCCAACUAAGUCCGACGUGAAAUCCCCAGGCUUAACCGGGGAACUGCGUCUGAUACUGGAUGGCUUGAGUUCGGGAGAGGGAUGCGGAAUUCCAGGUGUAGCGGUGAAAUGCGUAGAUAUCUGGAGGAACACCGGUGGCGAAGGCGGCAUCCUGGACCGAUACUGACGCUGAGGAGCGAAAGCCAGGGGAGCAAACGGG